UUUAGCAAUAUAGUAUUUAUAGUUGCCUAUGUAAUAGUAGGUGGUGAUGUGCUUUUAAGAGCAAUAAGAAAUAUAUCAAAAGGAAGAGUAUUUGAUGAGAACUUUUUGAUGGCUCUAGCAACAGUAGGAGCAUUAGCAAUAGGGGAGUUAUCAGAAGCAGUAGGGGUUAUGCUUUUCUAUAAAGUAGGAGAGUAUUUACAAGGUGUUGCAGUUGGUAAAUCCAGAAAGUCUAUAACUUCACUUAUGCAAAUAAGACCAGACUAUGCAAAUCUAAAAGUUAAUUCUGAAGUUAAGGUGGUGUCACCAGAAGAGGUAAAUGUAGGUGAUAUAAUAGUAGUAAAACCUGGUGAAAAAGUACCAUUAGAUGGUGUAGUAGUAGAUGGAGUUUCUAUGUUAGAUACUUCUGCACUCACAGGAGAGUCAGUGCUGAGAGAAGUUGAAAAAGGAGAUGAAAUCUUAUCAGGUGUUAUAAAUAAAAAUGCUUUAUUGAGUAUUGAAGUUACAAAGAGUUUUGGAGAAUCAACAGUUUCUAAGAUUCUUGACCUUGUUGAAAAUUCUAGCAUUAAAAAAUCAAAGACAGAAAACUUUAUAUCUAAGUUUUCAAGAUACUAUACUCCAAUAGUAGUAAUAGCUGCUUUAUUAAUAGCAUUUGUGCCACCACUUGUAAUCUCAGGUGAGGUAUUUAGUGAUUGGUUAUAUAGAGGAUUGAUAUUCUUAGUCGUUUCUUGCCCUUGUGCAUUAGUUUUAUCAAUACCACUUAGUUUUUUUAGUGGAAUUGGGUUUGCAUCUAAAAAUGGUAUCCUUAUUAAAGGAAGUAACUAUUUAGAAGCUUUAAGAAGUGUAGAUACAGUAGUAUUUGAUAAAACAGGAACACUUACUAAAGGUGUGUUCAAUGUAACUAAGUUAAAUCCUGAAGGUAUAUCAGAAGAAGAAUUAUUAGAAUAUGCAGCUAUUGCGGAGGUAAAUUCAAAUCAUCCAAUAGCAAAGUCCAUAUUAAGUUACUAUAAUAAAAAAAUUGAUUUAGAUACAAUAGACAGUUAUGAGGAAAUAGCAGCUUAUGGAAUUAGAGUAAAGCAUAAUGGCAAUUUUAUAUUAGCAGGUAAUGAGAAACUUAUGAAAAAAGAAAAUAUAUCUUAUUCAUCAGCUAAAGAAGUAGGCACAGUAGUCUAUAUUGCUGUUGAUAAAGUAUAUAGAGGUUAUAUAGUUAUCUCUGAUGAAGUAAAAGAAGAUAGUAAAAAUGCCAUAAGAAGCUUAAAAGAAAUAGGGGUAAAAGAAGUUGUAAUGUUAACUGGAGAUAAUGAGAAAGUAGCAAAAAAUAUUGCUCAAGAAUUAGAAUUGGAUACAGUUUACUCAAAUUUACUUCCUAAUGAAAAGGUAGAUAGAUUAGAAGAUUUAUAUGAAGGAAGAACUGAAAAAGAGAAAAUAGCGUUUGUAGGUGAUGGAAUAAAUGAUGCUCCAGUAUUAGCUCGUGCUGAUGUUGGUAUAGCUAUGGGAGGCUUAGGUUCAGAUGCUGCUAUUGAAGCUGCAGAUGUAGUGCUUAUGACAGAUGAGCCUAGCAAGAUAUCUAAAGCAAUUGAAAUAGCAAACAAGACUAAUAAGAUAGUGUGGCAAAACAUAAUAUUUGCUCUAGGAGUAAAAAUUAUAGUUAUGAUACUAGGUGCUGGAGGAGUAGCUACUAUGUGGGAAGCUAUAUUUGCUGAUGUAGGUGUGGCACUUAUAGCAGUAGUAAAUGCUAUGAGAGCUAUGAGAUAAGGGAUAAAUGUAAAUCCAUACUAUUUAAAAAACUUAUAAUUAUAUAUUGAAGUAUGUAAUAAUGAAAGGUAUCAAUAAGUUUCUUUUAACUUUAUUGGUACCUUUUUAUUGGAGCGCUUUGCAUAUAUAAAUUUAUAUUCAUUAUCCAUUAUGUUUAUUUAAUGUAUUUAUUUAGUGUAGAGCUUUUAUAUUGUAAUUUUAAAAUUUAGACAUAGAAGGUUUAUUAAUAAGUUUAUAUUAAGUUUAAAUUAGAUUCAUAAAAAUUAUAAUACUUAUGAUUGUAUAUAUAUUAUAUUAAUAGUUGUAAUUUUUACAACAAAAUGUGUGUGUUAAAAUACUCUAAACCAACAGUAUGACUGCCAUUCAAUAAAUUAUGUAAUAUAAGAAAGUAAAUAUUUUUAAAAAAUAAUUUUAAAAAGUAUUGACGAAUUAUUUUUAAGGUGAUAUAGUAUUACUUGUCCUUAAGAAAAGGGCAAACAUAAAAAAUGAACUUUGAAAAUUAAACAGUAGGUUAAUUUAUAAAACAAGAAACAAACCAUAAAGCCAGAUAUUUUGAUAACAAUAGUAUCUGAGCCUGAUA
rnacentral:rRNA from 1 species